rnacentral:rRNA from 1 species
UGCAGUCGAGGGAGAAUUUGACUUCGGUUAAAUGGAAACCGGCGAACGGGUGAGUAACGCGUACACAACCUACCCUUAACUGGGGGAUAGCCUUGGGAAACUGAGAUUAAUACCCCAUAAUAUUGAUUGAUUGCAUGAGUUCAAUUAAAGCUCAGGCGGUUAAGGAUGGGUGUGCGUUCCAUUAGCUAGUUGGUGAGGUAACGGCUCACCAAGGCGACGAUGGAUAGGGGGCGUGAGAGCGUGAUCCCCCACACGGGUACUGAGACACGGACCCGACUCCUACGGGAGGCAGCAGUAAGGAAUAUUGGACAAUGGGCGCAAGCCUGAUCCAGCCAUCCCGCGUGCAGGAAGACGGCCCUACGGGUUGUAAACUGCUUUUGUUAGGGAAGAAACCCCUCGAUUUUUCGGGGGCUGACGGUACCUAAAGAAUAAGCACCGGCUAACUCCGUGCCAGCAGCCGCGGUAAUACG